GAAAUGCGAUAAGUAAUGUGAAUUGCAGAAUUCAGUGAAUCAUCGAAUCUUUGAACGCACCUUGCGCUCCUUGGUAUUCUUUGGAGCAUGCCUGUUUGAGUAUCAUGAAAUCUUCAAAGUAAAUCUUUUGUUAACUCAAUUGGUUUCUACUUUGGUAUUGGAGGUCUUUGCAGCUUCACACCUGCUCCUCUUUGUUCAUUAGCUGGAUCUCAGUGUUAUGCUUGGUUCCACUCGGCGUGAUAAGUUAUCUAUCGCUGAGGACACUGUAAAAGGUGGCCAAGGUAAAUGCAGAUGAUCCGCUUCUAAUAGUCCAUUGACUUGGACAAUACUUUUAUGAUCUGAUCUCAAAUCAGGUAGGACUACCCGCUGAACUUAAGC
rnacentral:misc_RNA from 1 species